rnacentral:rRNA from 1 species
UACAGAGGUCUCAAGCGUUGUUCGGAUUCAUUGGGCGUAAAGGGUGCGUAGGGCGGCGCGGUAAGUCGGGUGUGAAAUCUCGGAGCUUAACUCCGAAACUGCAUUCGAUACUGCCGUGCUUGAGGACUGGAGAGGAGACUGGAAUUUACGGUGUAGCGGUGAAAUGCGUAGAUAUCGUAAGGAAGACCAGUGGCGAAAGGCGGGUCUCGUGGACAGUCCUGACGCUGAGGCACGAAGGUCAGGGGAGCAAACGGG